CUGGAUUGUUUGGGCAACACGGGCUUUGCUACACAAACACAACCAAAAACACUCAUUAUUAACGUUCUAAUGUUGUUUUUUUCUGUAAUAAUCCUACAGAAAACUGCAGUGAGUCUGAUAAAGUGUUUAUAUUCAGUUGAAUAAUCAGAAAAUGGGAAUUAUUCAGUCAGUAAUUUCUCAGGAGCGUCUGAUCGUGUAAACUUCAAACUUCCUGCAUCAGCUUCUUAGAAAAUAUUGAGCCACUUCACAGUGCAUUGCUUUAAGCUCCUGGAAGACGAGGUGCUGGUGGGUACUGAGAUGUAUGAUGCGUAAAUCCAGGAGAUCCUGACCCCUGACCUGCAGAACUGUCUUCAGACGGAGGUCAUGGGGUGAGCAAUGAGGCCCUGAGUCCAGCGCAGUUUACUGAUUCCCCGGCUCUAACCGGGCAGUUAACCCAAUUAAAAGGUGCUGGCUGGAGAGCGGAGGUGCAGAGCAUGAGAAGAGUGGAGCAGAGUGUGUGGGAGCAUGUGGUUAUAAAUGUAAGAGUGUGUGUGUGUGUGUGUGGGUGUGUGUGUGUGAAUAUGC
rnacentral:lncRNA from 1 species